rnacentral:lncRNA from 1 species
GUUGCCGCCAAGAGAGCUGAAUGGGUGCUGGAAAUUGCUAAUGGAGCUGCUGUGCUUGGCGAUUUUUGUGAGUUUCGACAUUGAGGUAGGGGAUUUAUUUUUAAAGUUAAACAUUUUUAAUUUAGAAUGCCUACAAAGUUAUUGGAUAAGUGCAAAUGGUUAACAAUGGUUAAGAAUUUCUUAAUUAACAUGAAUGACUUGAAAUGCAUUUGAAAUUAGUUAGUCGUUUUGAUUAUUCUGAGCUGUGAUUGAACUUAGAUGAUGUUGUGAAUAAUGAUUAAUCUAGUGUAACUUAUUAAAUUGAAAUAUGCCGAGUUAUUUGUUGAAUAGCUGUUGAAUGGAUAAUUGAUGAAUUGAGUUUGGAUUGCUGCUGUGAAUGUAAUUGGUUUUGUUGUUAUGAGGGACUAAUUGAUAGAAAUAAGCUUGGUUUGAGGUUGUGAAAUUUGGAUUAAAUUUGAUGAUGUUUUAGUGUUUCAAAUGGAUUAUUGAAUUCAGGUUAUGGCUGUGAAUGUCUUUGGGCUUUGUUGUGAGUGUUUGAAGCUGUAAUUGAUAUUGUUUUCUCUGAUAUUGAUGGAAUUGUUGCAAAGUUCUGACUCUAUGUGAUUAUACUGAAUUAGUUGAGUUGUGUGGCUGAAAAUUAUGAUUGGAAUGAUUGAGAUUUUUUAUUGGAACUUUAGUUGAAUUCGUUGAUUUUGAGAAAUUGAAUUAAAAAUUGUUUGAUGAGAGAUUAUUGUGAUUUCGGUAUUUUGAUGGGUCAAAUUGAAAUUGUUGCUGUUGAGUUAUUUUACUGUAAUGGACUUAGUUAGUGAUUAAUUGAAGUUGGGCUUAAGGAAUAAUUGGAAGACUGAAUCUUAAAAUGUUGAAUUAAUUGCUGAAAAUAUGAUUUUUGAAAUUAAAAGAUGACUUUGGAAGUGAAUCAGUUAUUCAACAAUAAUCGAAAUGAUAUGAGAGUAAAGGCUGAGUAAACUAUAAUAAAAGUUGUUGCUGGGAUUCAAUUUUGAGAAGUUUGAAUUAACUAUAGAACUAGUUAUGAUUUUUCAAAGUUAAAAUGUAAAACUUGAUUUUCUGCAUUACUUUUAAAUGAAGCCAGAGACUUUGAAAAUCUAUAACUAAUUCUAUGAUGAUCGGAAUUGUAUGGGAUCAAGUCUGGAUUAAUCUUGGGAGUAUAGGAAGCUGGAAUGGAAAAUUUGAGACUUUUUCAUUAAGUUUAUGGUUUAUGGUGAAUUUUUGAAUUAUGAAUGUCAAAUCUGGUUUUCUGCAGAAAGCUUAACACAGCAGCAACUUGUUCCCUCUAUUACAUAUUCUCCAGUUUGAAUUUUGAAAUAGAACCAAUUUUAAAUGAAACUCUGGUCCUAGUACUUUAAUUUCAUAAAAAUUUAGAAUUGUUAGAGUUGUGGUUUUAAAGAUAUGGAUUUUUAAAUUAAGAUGUAUUAUGCAGUAAAAAUCAGAUUUUGUUUUCUAAGUUAGUAACUUUGAGACUUUAUAAUUUUUAAUUCUGGAAUGAUAUUGAGAUGCAAUCAAUUGGAGGUGAAAUUUGAGUAUGUUUAGUAUAUAUGAUUUAAAUUUCAGAGUUUUCCAUGUUUUAGUAAGUGAGUUAUGGGACUUGGAAGAGGUUGUGUUCAAUGAUUUGUAAAACAGACUUCAGCAGAAAAUUACCUAACUUCCAAGCUACGUAACUCCUUCAUUAAAAAUGGUAUGACCCUGGAACCAAUUGAGAAAGGAAUUUGGAUAAGUUAUGUUUAACCACAUUAAUUUUGAAGGUGGUUGGAUUUAAUUUGGAUUUUAUAUAAAAUUUUGAAUGUUGUAUGCUGCUGCUGUCUUUUGGUUUUAAGGCACUACAGAGCAGUCACGGUAUUGCUUAUAUUCCCGAAGCUAGAGUCCGUGAAAAAUUGUGAUUUUUAGUUUAAUAGAAAGUUUAAUCCGAGACGGUCACAUGGCUAUAAGGUUUGCGUAAUUCCGAAUUCGUUUGAUAUUUUAAAAAUAAAACUGAAAUUAGAUUGCCGAUGUUGUUUUGGUGAUUACUUGGAUAUGGAAUUUGAGAAAUAGAUUUUCUAUACUAUUAUCAAAUAUUUUUGAGAAUAUAUUAUUGUGGCAAUUGUUGAGAAAGGUUUGAUGAGAUGUUGAGAAAGAGUAAACCCGUAAGGGUGGUUAAGUCCGAGUUUUAGGGGAGAUGCUGUCGAAAUUUUAUAAAAACCUGAGGUUUUAUUUGAGAAGUCAUUUUACAAAAUAUGAACUUGAAAAAUUAUAUUAUUUGAGUUUUAUCUAAAUAAGAGAAGAAUUAUACUAUUUUGAAUUUAGAAUUACCAAGAAAAGGUUUGUGUUUCAAGUUUGAAUUAUUUAAGAAAGGAAUUAUGUUGAGUUUGAUUCAAUAUGAAAAGGGUUAUGAUUUGGGCUUGAAAUAAAGGAUUACUUUUCAGGAGUUUGGUCAAUUUUAUAAUAUUUGAUUCCGAAUGACAAGGAAAAAUGGUUUGAGCUAAGAUGUUGUAAAAGUGAAAGAUGUAAAGUUUGUAUAGUAUGAUUGAAUUUGAUUAGCAUAAGUGAACAGAGAAAAAAAGAGGUACUGCACAAGAAUGUGAAAGUGAAGAUGAACAAUGAAAAUGAUAAUAAAUAAUGAUAAUGAGAAUGAUUAUGCGAUGAUCUGCUGCGUGAAGGCAAUCAGAUAGAUAGUGGUACGACCACAGAACGUUUUCCAGUGCUACACAGCUAUUGAGAGCUAUACCUGCAACUGAUAGCCUGGGAUCACUUGCAGAGGAUAUUAAUUUGUACACGGCUAGAAUGCCGCACCUGUAACGCAAGGAUUGCUUAUAGAGGAUAUGAUUUCAUACACGGUUGGAAUGCCGCAACCUGUAAGGCAGGGUCUGCUUACAGAGGAUAUGACGCAUACGUCGGUUAGUGAGAACUGUACCUAUGCUGACUGGAAAACCAUACCCGUUUUAGCUGCUUUGGGUUACGUCUGGAGCGGGUAGAAACCGACAAAUGAGCUCAUUACCUGCACUUGGGCUAGACAUGCAUCAUCCUUAUUUGCGCAUCUGCAUUUGAUUGUGUUUGCUUGUCUUAUUUCUUUGUAAUUGUGCUGUUUGUCUUGUAAUUUGUUUGUAUGUUGAAUUAAAUCUCUUGCUUGUACUUUUAGUUUCUGAAUGUUUUAAAGAGAUUAAUAAUUGACGUUGUGAUUGAAAACUAAUUAAGUGACUGAAAAAUGAUUGAUAUAAUUAAUCUUGUCAUUGAGAUCUGUUUUGAGUUUAGGAAGAGGUGAUCAAUUAGUUAAAGUAAAGCUAAGAGUAUAUCCAAAAGGUUUGAUGAAAUAUAGUUUCCUUGAGUAUGUUAAUUAUUUGCAUUUUAUUUCAUUACUUUUACAGCAUUUUCGUUCCCUACUGAGAAUGUGCGGUUUGUUCUCACCCCAAAAAUCCUCCACCUUUUCAGUGACACAGGUUCAAAGACACAGUGUGAAGCUGCGGGCGAUUAUAGAAUUUAUUUAUAAGUUAAGUGUGAGUUAAUUUGCUUUCAUAGAGUUCCCUCGCCCUUAUUGCUUACGAUUUUUAUUUUAUACAGAGGGAUAGGAUUUGUAUCUGAGUUUUAUUUGAAAUCUUUUGUAUGACAGAUAUUAUUAUUAACAAUUAUGUGAUUAUUACUACUUGAAAAUGUUUG